UACAGAGGUCUCAAGCGUUGUUCAGAUUCAUUGGGCGUAAAGGGUGCGUAGGCGGCGCGGUAAGUCGGGUGUGAAAUCUCGGAGCUUAACUCCGAAACUGCAUUCGAUACUGCCGUGCUUGAGGACUGGAGAGGAGACUGGAAUUUACGGUGUAGCGGUGAAAUGCGUAGAUAUCGUAAGGAAGACCAGUGGCGAAGGCGGGUCUCUGGACAGUUCCUGACGCUGAGGCACGAAGGCCAGGGGAGCAAACGGG
rnacentral:rRNA from 1 species